UGCACUGGUUUUCGUUGAUUCAUAGUGUUCUGAMGAAUCGACUCGCAAGAGUCGAUGGGGCUAUCAAGUUUCUGACCUAUCAGCUUCCGACGGUAGGAUAUUGGCCUACCGUGGUUUUGACGGGUAACGGAGAAUUAGGGCCCGAMMCCGGAGAGGGAGCCUGAGAAACGGCUACCACAUCUAAGGAAGGCAGCAGGCGCGUAAAUUACCCAAUCCUGACACAGGGAGGUAGUGACAAGAAAUAUCAAUAUAAGACGUUUCUGUCUUGUAAUUGGGAUGAGCUG
rnacentral:rRNA from 1 species